rnacentral:tRNA from 1 species
CAGAGAAUAGUUUAUUUAAAAUAUUAAUUUUGGAGAUUAAUGAUAGGAAGUUUUUCUUUCUUUGA